rnacentral:rRNA from 1 species
UACGUAGGGUGCGAGCGUUGUCCGGAUUUACUGGGCGUAAGGGCGCGUAGGCGGCUUAACAAGUCACUUGUGAAAUCUCCGGGCUUAACUCGGAACGGCCAAGUGAAACUGUCAAGCUAGAGUGCAGAAGGGGCAAUCGGAAUUCUUGGUGUAGCGGUGAAAUGCGUAGAUAUCAAGAGGAACACCUGAGGUGAAGACGGGUUGCUGGGCUGACACUGACGCUGAGGCGCGAAAGCCAGGGGAGCAAACGGG